rnacentral:ncRNA from 1 species
AAAAAAUAUAAUUAUUAUUUAAAAAUUUAUUAUAUAAUUAAAAUUUAAAUAAUUAUUUAUAUAUUAAUAUUUUUAAAUAAAAUAUUAAUUAUGAAAAAUUAAUAUUUAUAAUGAUUAAUUUUAUUAAUGUAAAAUAUAGUAAAUUAUUAUAAUAAUAAUAAAAUUAGUGCCAGCAAUUGCGGUUAUACUAUUUAAUUAUAAAUAAAUUAAAAUAAUUUUAAUGUAGUUAGUAUUAAUAAAUAUUAUUAAAAUUAAUUUAGUGGUGGGUAUUAUAAGGUGAAAUUUUAAUAUUUGCAAUAAUUAAUAAAAGAUACAUUAAUAACGAAUAAAUUAAAAAAUUAAAGAAGAAACUAGGAUUUGGUACCCUAUUAUUUUAAUUAAUAAAAAAAAAAUUAGAAAGUAAAUGUAAACCAUUAAAUUUAAAUAAUUUGGCGGUAUUUUAUUUAAUUAGAGGAACUUGUGAAAUAAAUGAUGAUCCACGAUAGGAAUGUCUUAUUAAAUUUUUAUAUAUUGUUGUUUAAAAAUUAUUUUAAAAGAGUUUAAUUAAAAAAUUUAUAAAAUAAAUUAAAAUUCAAAUCAAGGUGUAGUAUUUUUAAGUUUUUAUGAGUUACAGUUAAUUUAGUUAUAAGAUAAGUAAUUUUAAAUAUUAUUUUGAAUAAGUAUUUAAUAGUAAAGAUAUAAAAUUUUAUAAAUUGAAAAUUAUUUGAGAUAUGUACAAAUUGCCCGUCAUUUUCAUGAAAUUUAUAUAAUAAAAUAAGUGAAAGAAGUCGUAACAAAGUAAGUGUACAGGAAUGUGUAUUUAGGUAGAA